GAUGAAGAACGCAGCGAAAUGCGAUACGUAAUGUGAAUUGCAGAAUUCAGUGAAUCAUCGAGUCUUUGAACGCACAUUGCGCCCCCUGGUAUUCCGGGGGGCAUGCCUGUCCGAGCGUCAUUGCUGCCCUCAAGCACGGCUUGUGUGUUGGGCCUCCGUCCUCCUCCCGGGGGACGGGCCCGAAAGGCAGCGGCGGCACCGCGUCCGGUCCUCGAGCGUAUGGGGCUUCGUCACCCGCUCUUGUAGGCCCGGCCGGCGCUUGCCGACACAUCAAUCUUUUUUCCAGGUUGACCUCGUAUCAGGUAGGGAUACCCGCUGAACUUAAGUAUAUCAAUAAGCGGAGGA
rnacentral:misc_RNA from 1 species